GUGCGUCCUGCGGGGGCGGAGGCGCGGAGAGGCGGCAAGCGCAGCCGGGGAGGGUGGGGGGGCAGAGGCACAGACAGAGGCGCGGAGGCUCGGAGAGAGAAGACGUGGAGGGAGGGACAGAGCCUGGACAGCGGUGGACACGGCAUCGUGCGCGGGGAAGAGGGCAGCACGCAGCAGGCGCCGAGCGCCGGGCACCGAGAAGGGCAGCCCGGGUGGUCUCCGGCCGUCCAUGCACAGAGCGCCUUCCCCCACAGCCGAGCAGCCGCCGGGCGGAGGGGACAGCGCCCGCCGGACCCUGCAGCCCAGACUCAACAGGGAGGGGACGACGUGCAGCAGCUGUGUGAGGCGGGUGAGGAGGAGUUUCUGGAGAUCAUGGCACUUGUGGGCAUGGCCACCAAGCCCCUCCAUGUCCGGCGCCUGCAGAAGGCACUGAGAGAGUGGGCCACCAAUCCAGGGCUCUUCAGUCAACCAGUGCCUGCUGUUCCCGUCUCCAGCAUCCCGCUCUUCAAGAUCUCUGAGACUGCGGGUACCCGGAAAGGGAGCAUGAGCAAUGGGCAUGGCAGCCCAGGGGAAAAGGCAGGCAGUGCCCGC
rnacentral:sRNA from 1 species